rnacentral:rRNA from 1 species
UACAGGGGGGGCAAGCGUUGUUCGGAAUUACUGGGCGUAAAGGGCUCGUAGGCGGCCAACUAAGUCCGACGUGAAAUCCCCAAGCUUAACUUGGGAACUGCGUCUGAUACUGAGUGGCUUGAAUUCGGGAGAGGGAUGCAGAAUUCCAGGUGUAGCGGUGAAAUGCGUAGAUAUCUGGAGGAAUACCGGUGGCGAAGGCGGCAUCCUGGACCGACAUUGACGCUGAUGAGCGAAAGCUAGGGGAGCAAACGGGG